rfam:Sarcophilus harrisii ctg7180001524461, whole genome shotgun sequence.
AAAAUGACUUUUUUUAAAGUCACACAGAUAGUCUGUGAUAGAAUU